UACGUAGGGACCAAGCGUUGCUCGGAUUUACUGGGCGUAAAGGGCGCGUAGGCGGCGUGACAAGUCAGUUGUGAAAUCUCUGGGCUUAACCCAGAACGGCCAAGUGAAACUGUUGUGCUAGAGUGCAGAAGGGGCAAUCGGAAUUCUCGGUGUAGCGGUGAAAUGCGUAGAUAUCGAGAGGAACACCAGAGGUGAAGACGGGUUGCUGGGCUGACACUGACGCUGAGGCGCGAAAGCCAGGGGAGCAAACGGG
rnacentral:rRNA from 1 species